rnacentral:lncRNA from 1 species
AAAUAGAAUCACAUGAGUGCUAUAAGCGAAAGCAGAGAGCACGCCGCACUUUACUUUACUCAAUACUCAAUAGAAUCACAUGUUGUAUUCUAGUUUUAUUAAUGGAUAAUUUUUUUCAAUCAUUUUUGUGUGAUAAUUCGAGUAAAAUGUCUGGUAAAUGUGUGUUCAAUAAUAAAUGGCAAAGUAAUUCAGUCUAUGAAGACUGGAUUAGUUCAUGUGCUGACAAAAAUAAAGCAAAAUGCAAUUUAUCUGGAAUAUCAUUCAGCAUUUCGAAAAUGGGGAAAUCAGUUCUAAAAAGUCAUAUGAAGUCGAAAAAAUGCUGUGAUUUGUUAAAAAUAAAAAAAUCAAGCGAAUUUGAUUGCUAUUUAGAAAGAAAAGGAACCAAAACGUCUAUUGCAUCUACAUCGACAUGUUGCUUCUACUUCUCCAUCUGUUGUUUCUUCAUCUACUUCAUGCAUUGCUUCCACAUCUUGCAAUUUAAAUUAGCUUGUUUCAAGAAAUGAUGUCCUAGAUGCAGAAAUUUUGUGGACAUUUAAGACUAUUUCAUGCCAUACAAAGCAAAUGAAAAUAUUGAACAAAUAUUUCAAAUAAUGUUUCCUGAUAGCAGUAUUGCUGCUAAAUUUACAAGCGGGAAAAAAAAAGACUGCAUAUCUCCCAGUGUUUGAGAUUUCAUGUUAUUUGAAAGAUAGCCUUUUAAGAAUAGUGAACAGCAAAAACAACUAUGUUCUAUUGUUUGAUAAAAGUUUAAACAAGAUGUGCCAAAAAAACAAAUGGAUAUUCAUAUAAGAUACUGGGAGCAUGAUAUGGUGAAGACUUCGUUUCUCACAUCAAUAUUUUUAAGCCACGGGAAAUCAGAAGAUCUACUGGCAGCUUUUCAUGACGCUAUUACUUUAUUAUCAUUGGCGAAAGUUAUUCAAGUAUCUAUGGAUGGUUCAUUUGUUAAUUUUAAAUUUUUCAAUAUUCUACAAGAAGAAAUGUUUAAGAGUUUUAAGCAACAGCUUUUAAAUGUGGGGAAAUGUCCUCUACAUACCAUACACAAUUCUUUAAAAAUAGGUUCUAAGGCCUGUCAUUGGGACAUUGAAGAAUUUUGCAGAAAUGCAUAUUUUUUAUGUAAAGAUGUCCUUCUGCCCAACGGGAAGAUCAUGUGAAUAUAACUAAAAGUAGUGUUUUUCCAAAAAAGUUUGUGAAACAUCGUUGGCUGGAAAAUGUUCCUCUAUUGCCUGAUCUGCUGUUAAAAAAAAACAGAGAACUUCUUCCAUUGUCUUAUGAAAUUCAAGAUAUGUUUGGUAAUAAUGUCAAUCACACAGAAAAAUCUUUUCCUCAUGAUAGGGGUGUUUGGGCUACACAUGUAUUUAUUGAAUUGGCUGAAGUUGAUGCACAUGAUUAUCAUAUAGAAUGAGCUGCAUUAGCUUUAUCAUGCACUUUGUAAUUGUUAAACAGAUAUGUGAUUAUGGUACAGUCUUUAGCUAUUGACUUCAAAACAUUUAAAGGUUUCAGCUGGGGGUUGACUCUUUAGAGGUGUAUGAAAAUGAAGAAAAGACAAGGAUCCAUCUUUUCAUCUCAGCUUUGUAUGUUGUGUUGGUAGUAAGUCACAAAUUAUAGAAUCUCUUCUGGGAGAUCUGAAUAUGAAUAGUGUUUCAGGCAUUUGUGAAAAAUAUUCCUUGCUUUAGAAGAUUGAAUGUUACUAAAAUUAAUUGUAAGAGUGGAAAUAAACUCUUCACUACAAGUUUAAAAACUUGACAUUUUAAAAUUAAGAUAUA